rnacentral:rRNA from 1 species
UACGGAGGGUGCAAGCGUUAAUCGGAAUUACUGGGCGUAAAGCGUGCGUAGGCGGUUCGUUAAGUCUGUUGUGAAAGCCCCGGGCUUACACGUGGAAUGGCAAUGGAUACUGGCGAGCUAGAGUGUGUCAGAGGAUGGUGGAAUUCCCGGUGUAGCGGUGAAAUGCGUAGAGAUCGGGAGGAACAUCAGUGGCGAAGGCGGCCAUCUGGGACAACACUGACGCUGAGGCACGAAAGCGUGGGGAGCAAACAGG